GAUUCGGUGCGAACCGCAACGCCAAGCAGUUUCACCCGAUAGCCAAGCUCUUCAGCCGCGCGGAGAUCUUCCGGCGCGAUGGAUGAAAUGCCUUCGACGUAGACCGCGCUCUGAUUGACCUUGGUGCCGAACGCAAGGCUCGCGAGAAUGGCGAGUUUCUGCGCGGUGUCGUGCCCGUCGACGUCGAACGACGGAUUAGCCUCCGCAUAUCCGAGCCGCUGCGCGUCUUUGAGACACUCCGCGAACGACAGUCCCUCGCGCUCCAUCCGUGUCAGGAUGUAAUUGCAGGUGCCGUUGAGAAUGCCAUAGACGCGAUUGAUGCCGGUCCCGGCA
rnacentral:misc_RNA from 1 species